rnacentral:rRNA from 1 species
AUGGGUGCGCACUGGACGCGUCGGGCACGUCGGGACCGCGGGCGCGCGUACGAGCAUGCGGUUGACGUUGGAGGAGGCGUAUGUCGCCGUUGUGCUCGAGUCCGUGCUCGAGUUCGCCUACAUCCUUCUGGCGUUUGUCGUUGGCGGCUGCCAUGGCGGACGCGUAGGCAGCGCGCGGUGAGCGACUGGUGCGGUCGGGCUCGUCGGGCGCGUCGGGUGCGCGCGGGACGUGCGGGAUGCACUGUUGCGGUCGGGCGCGUCGGGUGUGCGCGGGACAUGCGGGGCGCCGAGGGACGCCAGGCGUGUGUCGCGGUGGAGAAGGAGCUCGGCGUGUGUCGCCGGAGUCGUGAUAGAGCACGGUGUGACCGGCGUCGUUGCGCCAGGUCGGGUCCGCGGGCUGGGUCACGAUCGUGGCGACAUCAACGACGGAAGCUGCAACAACUCCGACAACGACGAUGUCAUGGCUUAGAGGGAAUGUACAAGAAGGUGAAGGGAUUGCUGCAGCUGAUCCAAGAAGAUGGCCACUCCUUUGAGUUUCUGUCAUAG